rnacentral:lncRNA from 1 species
GCGUGGUCUCGGGUGGGCGUGUCCCCUGACGCCCCGCCCCGCAGGUGGUGCUGGUGGAGCGGGCGGGGCGGCGCGUGCUGCAGCUGGUGGGGCUGCUGGGCAUGAUGGGCUGCGCCGGGAGCCUGGCGCUGGCGCUGACGGUGAGCGGCACCCCGAAAUCCACCCGGGACACCCCGAAAUCCAUCUGGGACACCCCAAAAUUCAUCUGGGACACCCUGAAAUCUAUCCCUGAGAGCCCAAAAUCCAUCCUGGGACACCCCCAAUCCAUCCGGGACCCCAAAAUUCAUCUGGGACACCCCGAAAUUCAUCUGGGACACCCCGAAAUCCAUCCGGGCACCCCGAAAUUCAUCUGGGAGACCCCGAAAUCCAUCCCUGAGAGCCCAAAAUCCAUCCGGGCAGCCCCAAUCCAUCCCGGCACCCCGAAUCCAUCCCGGCACCCCGAAAUCCAACCCCGGGACCCCGAAAUCCAUCUGGGACACCCCGAAUCCAUCUGGGCACCCCGAAUCCAUCCCGGCACUCCGAAUCCAUCCGGGCACCCCAAAAUCCGCCCCGGGACCCCGAAAUCCAACCCCGGGACCCCAAAUCCAUCCCGGGCACCCCGAAUCCAGCCCCGAGAGCCCGAAAUCCCACCCAGGACCCUGAAAUCCAUCCUGGAAAAAAAAAAUUCAUCCUGGUGGGACCCCAAA